rnacentral:lncRNA from 1 species
GGGAGAGUGUGUGAGAGACGGAGAGUGUGUGUGAGAGAGGGAGAGUGUGUGUGAGAGAGGGAGAGUGUGUGUGUGAGAGAGAGAGAGUUUGUGUGAGCGAGAGAAAGAGUGUGUGAGAGGGAGGGAGAGUGUGUGUGUGAGAGAGAGGUUCCGAAGUUACAAAUUGAGCAGCAGCUGCUGAAAAACAAGCAACAAACGAAGAAGAUGGGCUUUUGAAAAAAGAACAUGUCCACCAGCUUGGUACAACACAAGAAGAACCUGAGACCAGCAUGGCCUCCACCACACAGCCUGAUGACACUGCACCAGCGUCCCAGUCUGCUCCAGCCCAGAUCAGCCUCCCAGUCUGCUCCAGCCCAUGUCAGCCUCCCAGUCUGCUCCAGCCUAUGUCAGCCACCCAGUCUGCUCCAGCCCAGAUCAGCCUCCCAGUCUGCUCCAGCCCAGGUAAGCCAACCAGCGUCCCAGUCUGCUCCUGCCCAUGUCAGCCUACCUGCUUCCCAGUCUGCUCCAGCACAGUGUGCUCCAGCCCAGAUCAGCCUCCCAGUCUGCUCCAGCCCAGAUCAGCCUCCCAGUCUGCUCCAGCCCAGUGUGCUCCAGCCCAGAUCAGCCUUCCAGUCUGCUCCAGCCCAGAUCAGCCUCCCAGUCUGCUCCAGCACAGAUCAGCCUCCCAGUCUGCUCCAGCCCAUGUCAGCCUCCCAGUCUGCUCCAGCCUAUGUCAGCCACCCAGUCUGCUCCAGCCUAUGUCAGCCACCCAGUCUGCUCCAACCCAGAUCAGCCUCCCAGUCUGCUCCAGCCCAGGUAAGCCAACCAGCGUCCCAGUCUGCUCGUGCCCAUGUCAGCCUACCUGCUUUCCAGUCUGCUCCAGCACAGUGUGCUCCAGCCCAGAUUAGCCUCCCAGUCUGCUCCAGCCCAGAUCAGCCUUCCAGUCUGCUCCAGCCCAGUGUGCUCCAGCCCAGAUCAGCCUCCCAGUCUGCUCCAGCCCAGAUCAGCCUCCCAGUCUGCUCCAGCACAGUGUGCUCCAGCCCUGGUCAACCUACCAGCUACCCAGUCUGCUCCAGCCCAUGUCAACCUACCAGCUACCCAGUCUGCUCCAGCCCAUGUCAACCUACCAGCUACCCAGUCUGCUCCAGCCCAUGUCAACCACCAGCUACCCAGUCUGCUCCAGCCCAGAUCAGCCUCCCAGUCUGCUCCAGCCCAGAUCAGCCUCCCAGUCUGCUCCAGCACAGUGUGAUCCAGCCCAGGUCAAUCUACCAGCCUCCCAGUCUGCUCCAGCCCAGGUCAACCUACCAGCUACCCAGUCUGCUCCAGACCAGGUCAACCUACCAGCCUCCCAGUCUGCUCCAGCCCAGGUCAGCCUACCAGCCUCCCAGUCUGCUCCAGCCCAGGUCAACCUACCAGCUACCCAGUCUGCUCCAGCCCAGGUCAGCCUACCAGCCUCCCAGUCUGCUCCAGCCCAGGUCAACCUACCAGCCUCCCAGUCUGCUUCAGCACAGUGUGCUCCAGCCCAGGUCAACCUACCAGCUACCCAGUCUGCUCCAGCCCAGGUCAACCUACCAGCUACCCAGUCUGCUCCAGCCCAUGUCAACCUACCAGCUACCCAGUCUGCUCCAGCCCAUGUCAACCACCAGCUACCCAGUCUGCUCCAGCCCAGAUCAGCCUCCCAGUCUGCUCCAGCCCAGAUCAGCCUCCCAGUCUGCUCCAGCACUGUGUGCUCCAGCCCUGGUCAACCUACCAGCCUCCCAGUCUGCUCCAGCCCAGGUCAACCUACCAGCCUCCCAGUCUGCUCCAGCCCAGGUCAGCCUACCAGCCUCCCAGUCUGCUCCAGCCCAGGUCAGCCUACCAGCCUCCCAGUCUGCUCCAGCACAGUCUUCUCCAGCCCAGGUCAAGCUACCAGCCUCCCAGUCUGCUCCAGCCCAGGUCAAGCCACCAGCCUCCCAGUCUUCUCCAGCACAGGUCAAGCCACCAGCCUCUCAGUCUGCUACAGCCCAGGCAAUCCUUAUUGAUUCAAAUGGAAGUUCUUAGUCCAGGAAAUAUUAUUCCCUAGACACCAGGUGUAUAAGUUCUGGUGUUCUACAACUGACAGUGCAAUGCAGCUACUCAGUCAGACCAGGGUUGACACCCCCGACAACAUCAUCAUAAACACUGGCACAAACGACCUUCAUGCCAAAGGUGUAUCUGGGGCAGUGAGAAGAGUGGCAGAACGAGCACAGGCUAUGUUCCCAACAACCGAUAUAGUUGUGUCCACUCUCCUACCAAGAAAAAACUUCCCAGGACAGUUGAUGGACAAUAUAAAUCAACAGAUCACUGUGGACUGUGCCUCACUGCUCAACGUCAGAACGGCUCACCACCCCACUCUGACAUGUCAACACUUAUACCAUAAUGUACAUCUGGAUCAGGACAGGAUCAGAACCUCUGCCAAGGACCUAAAGGAUGCAACAGUUGGCAGGGACCCACACACCCAUCACCCCAGCAGCAGAGGCCCCCCGCUCCACUUUCUGAAACGACAGUACCCCCACCAUCCCCAGGAGAGAAGAGCCAGACACGGCUUAUUACAGCACAGCUCUACUAGACCAGGCCCAUCACAACACAGCUCUACUGGACCAGACCCGUCCCAUCACAACACAGCUCUACUAGACCAGGCCCAACACAGCACAGAUUUACCAGACCAGACCUGCCUCAGGACAGCACAGCUCUACUAGACCCGGCCCAUCACAACACAGAUUUACCAGACACGUCCCAUCACAACACAGCUCUACUGGACCAGGCCCAUCACAACACAGCUCUACUGGACCAGGCCCAUCACAACACAGCUCUACUAGACCCGGCCCAUCACAACACAGCACUACUAGAUCCAGCCCAUCACAACACAGCUCUACUAGACCAGGCCCAUCACAGCACAGAUUUACCAGACCAGACCCGUCCCAUCACAAUACAGCUCUACUGGACCAGGCCCAUCACAACACAGCUCUACUGGACCAGGCCCAUCACAACACAGCUCUACUAGACCCGGCCCAUCACAACACAGCACUACUAGAUCCAGCCCAUCACAACACAGCUCUACUAGACCAGGCCCAUCACAACACAGCUCUACUAGACCAGGCCCAUCACAACACAGCUCUACUAGACCAGGCCCAUCACAACACAGCUCUACUAGACCAGGCCCAUCACAACACAGCUCUACUAGACCAGGCCCAUCACAACACAGCUCUACUAGACCAGGCCCAUCACAACACAGCUCUACUAGACCAGGCCCAUCACAACACAGCUCUACUAGACCAGGCCCAUCACAACACAGCUCUACUAGACCCGGCCCAUCACAACACAGCUCUGACCUCUACUCCGGGGUCGGGCAGAACACUGUCCUUCAGAGAAGUACACCACAUGAUGCAGUCCACACCAUGUAUCAUUCAGAUCAUCAGCCUCCAUAUGCUGAGGUAACCUCUGGCAAAAGACACCUAGAACAAUCAGAGAUAGGAGAGGUGCGCCAACUACUGCAACUAAUAUGCAGACUACUGGGCUAGACAGACCCUUUAAUUCUCUCUCUCUCUCUCUCUCACACACACACACACACACACACACACACACACACACACACACACACACACACACACACACACA